AAUAAAGUUCCAGUCCCUGCAGCUAGAA
rnacentral:sRNA from 1 species